AAACGAUUGAAGUCAGUCAUGCCGGUGAGAAAUCAGCUUACAGGCUACUGUGAGUGCACUUUUUCGCAAGGCAGGUUAACAUCGGUUUUUGUUGCAUCAUAAUGAUUGUAGGAAGGUGGCUCCUUCGGGAGUGUUAUAGCCUACUUUAGAUGGCGCGACGAAGACUGAGGAUUGCAGCGAAUGCCUUUGGCUACGGAUCUUUUCUCUGUCGAUCUUCGAUUGAUCGUCAGCUUGCUGACGAGCGGUUGAUAGGUUUGCAAUAGGAUGGAAUCCGAUAAAUUCGCUAAGGAUGUUGACGUAAUGGCUUUAAACGA
rnacentral:rRNA from 1 species